UCCAUAGAGAGGCGGGUGGGGGCGGAGCAGUGCUACUGCGCCUGCGCGCUAAGGCGAGCUUCUGGCCGCGCCUGAGGGGCAUCGCGGGGAGCCUGGGGUGUGUGGUGGGUUGGGGUGGUGAAUGUCUGUCCUGAAGCACCGCUGUUACUGAUUAGGUUGAUUUUUGGUGGUUUCAUUUCUACGCCUCAAGAAGUCUAUAAUUGCAAUACGGUCUGUCUGUUAAUAAUUGGAAAGUAUUGUCAGGUGUUUAAAAUAUAAACUGGAUAUUCGGUUGUCUGUUUUAUUCCCCGUGCUGUAGGUGGAACUUUGAAUAACUGUGUCGUCCUGUGUUCUCGCUGAGCGAUGGAAUCCUAUUACAAAGAAAGAUCCUGGAGCAAAAGUUGCAGGCACAACCUGGGAGAAAUCAGCAUAGCUUAGCACGUCUCCAUCCUGUGUCCCCUGACUUCUGCAUAUCUGCCUUCCAGCAGUAAACAUGUGCUGUGGAUUUAGUUUUCUUUAAUAAAAACAAGCCGUUCUCUUACACCGUAUUUGGGCACAGAGACCUCCCUGUGCCUUUCCAGUACUUGGGGGGAGCUUAUGAAAAGGAGGAGGAAACAGAAUUCCUGACUUCACCUGCCCAGGCUCUUCUCAGAUUUUUCUUAUAGAUAAGCAGCUCUGCCUGCCUUCUCAAAAUUCUCAUUCAGGUUCAGCUUUCUGCUUGAAGUCGCUACUUACUGUCAGUCUCCUGCAUAUUAAUCUUCCACGUGGAAACAGAAAGAUCUGAUCUGACACCAUCAUCUUUUUGAAGAAAUCAGAGGUUCCCCACCUCUCUUACUAGCAGGUUUUGACAUGACGUUAUAACCUGGCUAUUUGGUUGAAGCUGUGCCUCAAACGGAGGGCACGUAAUUGAAUUAGCUGGCAUGAGGCCAGCGAGAAUCUGAAACUGUGGUUUAGGUGCUUGUCCAGCAGAGGGAAGUCGUAGCCUCUGGUUGUAUUAUAACCUGCUCUUUCAGAACAGAAAUCCAGUGGCUUUAAGAUGCAGUGAGUAAGCAGUCUUGACCAUCUGUUUUCUCUCACUGAUCAGGAUCCUUGAGUCCUGAUUUUAGGUGUAGAAAUUCGGUACUUGUGUUUUAGGAUGUCAUUCCACACUUCUUUACAGAGAAAAAAUAAUUUGUUUUCUACCAUCAGAUGAGGUGCAUUUUGCACUGAAGCUCUACUUUUCUCUCCGGUGGCUAUAAAAGGAACCUAGGUGACUAGCUCAGACACAGGAAUUUCACAGGUCAACACUUACAUUAAGCCAUACAAAUUUUAAUCCUGUUGGCCAUAGCUGCCAACACAACACUGGUGUUAGGAUGAGAAACAUCUAUCUUGCUACCCUCUUGCCUGUUUCUUCCACUGAGUUGCUGCAGACUGACAAUUAGGACAUAGCAAAUAACUUAAUAUGGUCAUUAUGCUCUCAGAUAAUUGAAGAAACAAAACAUCUUUGUAGCAAGGCUCUCCCUUUCCCUUGCCUAGCAUAUCACUUGAUAAUAGCAUUUACUCCUGUAAUGAAAACCAUUUUUUUUCUGCAAUUGACUCUCUGUACUUCAAGGUUUCCGUGGCAAGCGAUUGCUGUAUUUUAUGCUUUCCACAGAAAAUAUAACCAACUAAUCAUGCCCUGGAGUGUCUCUGCUUACUUUCCUGCUUCCUCAUAUUCUGCCAGGGCAGGAAGGAAAGCCUGCAGUGAUAGUUGUAGGGUGUAUUUGCAAGCAGUUACUGCGUGUAAACUUGUUAUCUAGCCUUGAGCUGACAAAACAGAUGAGUGGUUGCUGCUGCCACUGUGUAUUGUUUCUCUCUUCUACAUUUUCUCAAAUACAACAGCUUCUUGUGGCUUUGCUUUCCUUAGUUAUCAAGAAAUAGGUAUGUUUUAUAGACCUAGUCAUGCUAAAGACUGAAGUGGCUUUGUGGAGGUGUUGGGGAAUGAAAGGCCUGCCCAGUACCACUCUACCAAGCUCAAACCUUGUUGGAUCUGGUGGAGAAAGGUACACCGCCUACUCUUCAGGCUUCCUUGAAAGCUGAACCCCUCUAAUGUAAUGCUCAGACUGUGAGGGGAUUUAAGAAAUUUCUUGUAACAAAUCCUCCCAAAUUGGCAACAUCUGUCUGUCUGCUCAGCACUAAUUGCAUCCAGAAAAAAAUUGCACAUGAGGCUGGAAAUAAUGGAGUGGUGCAUACUGGAGAAGAGGAAGCAGAUAGCACAUCCUGCAGAAGAAAACUAAGCAUCCCCAAAUCUCAUGCAUAUCAUUACUUAAUACAUUUGACAGCCUUUCUCAUAUUUUCUGGGACUCAAAGAUUUAAACAUCUUUGAUUUUUAUCUACAUUCCGAGAAUGUCCCUGGCCUAACCCUUUAUUUCUUCUUUAGUUUAUACACACCCAAGCUGACUAAACAUGACUGAUGUCCACUUGUGUCUUCAGGAUAAACAGAGACGUCCCUUCACCUUGGCUUCGUUCCUCUGAGUCUGUAGAAACACUGGGGAUACAACAUCAGCAGUGCAAGGACACAGAUUGUAGCUGUUGGCUGGGGAAAACCAGAAAGAUCUUGCUCGCCUCAUGCAUGGCUAGCUGUGAUCUAAGUCGAGACAUGCUUCAUGUUGAUACUUUUAUAUCAGGUGGCUGGUUUUUGCAACAAGACAACUGGAAAAUAUUUUAAAAGGAUCGCAGCCUGAAAAUUGCCAGUAUACACAGAAUAUAAGUUACAGCGCAUCAGAAGCAAACCUGUCACAUAAGCAGUCCCAAAGUGCUUUUUAUUUAUUUUUAUAAACAGUUAGCAAGCACCUGAUAUACAUUUUGUUUGUUGUGAUAGCAACUGCUGCACUCAUAGGAAACAUUAUAAAAAAACCCUCAUUUUACUCAGAUCUCCUUUAUAUUAGAAAGUGGGUAUUUUUCCAGCAAUUUUUGCUAACACACAAAGUACGAUACCAGUCUUAAUGACUUUACAGCUUCCCCACUUAAUAUGCUAGCAGAAAAAAACAACAGUGCAUAUUUCUGUUUGCAAGAAAACAAACUCUUAUCUACUUUCUUUAUUUUUUUUUCUUCCCUGAAGAAACUGAAAACAUCUGUAGAAAAUCAGUACUAUUUUCCAUUUAGAUGGUAAUUUUAGGGGAUGUUGUGAACUAUUGGUAGAAAAAAUGUGAUUGCUAAUGGGUUAUGUACCUACAGCUACAGAAUUAUAGAGCAAGUAGACUGUUGUUUUCAUCUACUCUAGGCAGAGUACUAAGACAAUGCUAUUGUACAUAAAAUGAGUAAUGUGCUUCAAGUAACUGACAUUUACCAGCAUGUCAAGUUCAUCAUUUUUACAGUCGUAGCUGAAAUUGCAUUUGCUAAAUUGCUCUUGUGAAGCAGGCUUUUCAUUCUGAUACAUUCCCUCGUUCUCAAAGUAUAAUUUGUCUUCUUGUAAAAGCACUGAUCUUAAUCCUUAGCCUCUGUUAAGAUUACUAGAUCUUCCAGUUUUAAGUUUAAGGCUCUUUAUCUUAACACUCCCUGUGGUGAUGCCUAUUUGACUUGUUCUGUUCCUUGUUUCAUGUUCAGGGAUGCCUUACACACUGCCUACUGUCAGAUAUAAUGUAUAUUGGACCAAAAAUUCAGUAUAAUUCUGCAUUGUAACUUAGAUGGUAUCAUUAUUUUGUGAAGUAAGGUUAUUCACUGUACCACAGAGCAAUCUUCUGGUACCAGGACCUUAAAAGCGAUUAUGGAAGUAGAGAAAGAACAUUUUGUGAAUUUGAUGUUGCACAAAACAGGUGCUGAAUUCCUUCUUGUUAGAAAAAUAUAAAUGAAAAAUGAUCAACAGAAGAGGAGGAUAAGUAGGAGAAGCUGGCGUUCCUUUAACAGGCACUGAACUGUUUUAUCUAACAAAACACAAAAGAACAAAGGGCAUGGAGGAAGCUAUUUUUUAUCACUAGACUGUGCUCUGAAAGGCAAAACUCGAACACAAGCAACCAAUUGCACCAACAGCAAUGAAAAGAUGUGGCACAUGAGGACGGCAGAUGCUAUGCUGUCUUCAUAGCCUUGAAGAGGGCUGUCUGUUUUGUCAUCAUUCCUAGCUUAGGACUUUCUGAGCUACUGCUCCAGCUGGAUAUUUUCUCAUACCCCAAAAUCUCCUUGGAAAUGGCAACUGGCAUCUUUGUUCACUGCCAAGGUGUGUGCUGGUGCUUCCAUGUGGUACUUUCAGGUACUUUCUUGACAUCCUCAGUGUUUCUGCUGGCAUCAAGAUUUUGUAUAAUUAUAGGUCUUUUUUAGCUUAGUGUUCAAAUAUUGAGGGCAGUCAGCUGGCAUCAGUGUUGGGCCGAGUGUGAGGCCUUUUGUUGUGAAUAGGAUUCCUGUACAUUCUUUACACGGGGACCUGGGCUGCAGCCAGCACAAGGAGAUCUGAAGGAGAGGGAGGACUGCAGCUCCAGAAAAUGGUGGGGUAAGAAUGGCUGGCAGAAGAAGACACUUCUAAAAAAAAAACAGGCAGACAGACAUACACACAUAUACAUGCACACACACAAAGAAACAACAGGGCUUUGGGAUGUGAAAAGAUAUAUCUCUUGUCUGAAGAGACACGGGUAAAGCUUUUUGUUUGAAACAGAUUUGCUUUCCAGCAAGAAGUUGUCUUCUGUUCACAAUUAUGGUGUUUUUUUUUUUCCUUUUAGGCUCUGGUAGAAUUGUUCUUGGGUUCCUGUGAUCAUGUGUUUGAGGCCUAAUUGCCACUCUGGAGUGAUGUGUUGCUCUGAAAUUUCUGGGGCACUUGGUCCCUGAGCAGAAGUUCCAGAGUGGGAUGUGGACCUCAGUACACCACCACACAUGAGGUAAGUGAUGAGGCAGGUGUGGAAGUUAGCUGUCUCCUGAGCAAAACAGGCUGUCACAAACUGAAGCACAAGAUCAAGAUAAGACUGUCAUUGUGCAAGUCUCUGCUGUCCUGGAGCUAAUGAGCACAAUCUGUUUUUGCAAAUGAUUUCAUACUUUUGUUCUUUAUUAUGAACAUACACAGCACUUAAGUGUUUUCAGUAUUGGCUGACUCCAGUAUUUUGUAGUCACGAUUGUGGUAUUUAAACAGGAGGUGAUCUGUUCUGCACAUGGAAAAGGGGCUGUGUUACAGAGGAAAUAAUAAAGUGUUGCUGGGUUUUGGCAAGAGGGUGUUAUGACUGUUUUCAAAGAAUAUACCCAAUGUUCUUUAUUUUCAGUACAAAUCUAUGGUGAUUUGAAUCUGAUUUCUGGUCUCUACCUGGGGAGCAUUAUGACUGUGUUAGAAAUGCAAGCAUAAUAUUAAAUUGGAAAGCUUUUACAUAUAUGCAGGUUUGUCUGUUUCUUUUGUAGCUGCUAUAUAAUACUGGUCCCCUGUUUCAACCUAAGAGCUGUGCUUAAUGAGAUGAAAUGAGCAGUACCACUUGAGUAGGAACUAUUGUAAAUAAUGGAGACCUUUUUAUAAAACUUCAUGAUAUUGUUAAUACCCAAAAUGCACUCAGUAUGACAAGCAUCACAUUGCCUUUGAUUAAACACAA